rnacentral:rRNA from 1 species
UACAGGGGUGUAAACGUUGCUCGGAAUCAUUGGGCGUAAAGCGCACGUAGGCGGCCUAGCAAGUAGGGAGUGAAAGCCCUCGGCUUAACCGAGGAAGUGCUUUCUAAACUACUAGGCUUGAAUACUGGAGAGGGUCGCGGAAUUCCCGGUGUAGAGGUGAAAUUCGUAGAUAUCGGGAGGAACACCAGUGGCGAAGGCGGCGACCUGGACAGAUAUUGACGCUGAGGUGCGAAAGCGUGGGGAGCAAACAGG